GAAAAAUACGUAAGGAAUUCUCGUAUACACCGGUAAUAUGGUCCGGAAGUUUCUACCUGCUGCCGUAAAUAGCAGACUACGAGGUAUUAUUAAUUGUAU
rnacentral:ncRNA from 2 species